UAUGCAGUGCCAAGCUAUUUCAGCAAAUAUGGUCCUCUCUGAGCCAUCGCAGAACCAGCAUACCCAAAACCAAGUGCUUCCACUCAUUCUCACUCCCAUAGCAUCCCAAGACCUCAAGACAGACAGUUCAGACUGAAGUUUCCUAAACAUCCAAGGCACCGCACUUGCUGAAAUACGAAAUACCUCCUAAUUGUCCUUCCAAAGAAGGACGGACGAAACAGAUGAAUGAAAAAUAGUCUAUGUAAUGUAAAUUCCAUUCUGCAACAUA